UAUUAAUCUAACUUAAGUUUCAUAAUGAAAUCCAGAGAAGUAAAAAUUUAUUGUACUUGAAUAAGGUAAAUGAAAUUCAUUUUAGAUCAUUCACAAAGAAUUUUUCAUGGUAACAAAGCAAAACUCAGCGAGACAGAAAAGAGAAACAUAAUUACUGAAGACAUUUACCUCCAUUUUUCACUGUCCUGUCCCAAAUUCAUUGAAUCUUGAUAAAACUGUAUUCCUGUUAUGCCCUAACAUCAUACCACAAAAUCGUUAACCAGCUCAGCUUUCACUAUGAGAAAUCCUUAUUGUUUGAAUGUGUUAUCGAAUAGAUGUAUUGAAGAGAAUUUGAUUAUUAGAAAAUUCAUGUUUUCACUUUACCUGUUCUUUCUCAAGUAUAUGCUUAUAUUAUGCCCGUGAACUGGCAAGUUUGGAGGCUGAAAGGAUUGAACUUCACAAAUAAGAGUUCUUUUUACAAACAUUCCAGUUAUCAGAUUUGGACAACACAAGUAGAAGCCUUGUUAAACUCAAUCUCCGUUGUCACUGGCUGCCUGCUCAUGUUCUUGGAGUGUUGCCAACAGGUUCUAUCUCUGAUUCCAUUCUCAAGGACUUCCUCAGUAUGGCUACAUGUCGUGUUCUCAACCAAUGAAAUAUGUAUGUGACUUCUGAGUCAAGGGAGUUAAGAAGCAUGCGUAUUUUGUCUACCUGCUUCUUUCUCAUUUGCUACCUGAACGCAGAAGACUCCAAGGUCUUACAGGAGGGACAUGAGGUGGAAGGUGUUUGGGUACCAGAAUGACUCUGUGGAAGGCCAGAGACUGAUCACAUUUACAUUGUAUUGUUAUAUGAAUGAGAAAUAAACUUUUAUUGAGUAACAGC
rnacentral:lncRNA from 1 species